rnacentral:rRNA from 1 species
GACGAACGCUGGCGGCGUGCCUAACACAUGCAAGUCGAACGGAGUGUUUAUUUAUAAACACUUAGUGGCGAACGGGUGAGUAACGCGUAGACAACCUACCCUCUAGAUGGGGACAACACCGCGAAAGUGGUGCUAAUACCGAAUGUUGUAAUGUUAUUGCAUAAUGAUAUUACUAAGGGUGGCCUCUAUAUAAAAGCUACCGCUAGAAGAUGGGUCUGCGUCUGAUUAGCUAGUUGGUGAGAUAACAGCUCACCAAGGCAAUGAUCAGUAGCCGGUCUGAGAGGAUAGACGGCCACACUGGGACUGAGACACGGCCCAGACUCCUACGGGAGGCAGCAGUGGGGAAUCUGCCGCAAUGGACGAAAGUCUGACGGAGCAACGCCGCGUGAGUGAAGAAGGUUUUCGGAUCGUAAAGCUCUGUCUUCAAGGACGAAUGUAGAUAUUGUGAAUAAUGAUAUUUAAUGACGGUACUUGAGGAGGAAGCCACGGCUAACUACGUGCCAGCCGCCGCCGUAA